rnacentral:rRNA from 1 species
UUGACCUCGGAUCAGGCAGGGAUACCCGCUGAACUUAAGCAUAUCAAUAAGCGGAGGAAAUAGAAACCAACAGGGAUUAGCCUCAGUAACGGCGAGUGAAGCGGCAACAGCUCCAAAUUUGAAAGUCUGGCUCUUUCAGGGUCCGAGUUGUAAUUUGUAUGAGGAUGCUUCGGCGUGGGCUCCGGUCUAAGUUCCUUGGAACAGGACGUCAUAGAGGGUGAGAAUCCCGUAUGUGAUCGGCUCUGCCUUUCUCCAUGUGAAGCCUCCCUUCGACGAGUCGAGUCGUUUGGGAAUGCAGCUCUAAAUGGGAGGUAAAUUUCUUCUAAAGCUAAAUACUGGCCAGAGACCGAUAGCGCACGAGUAGAGUGAUCGAAAGAUGAAAAGCACUUUGGAAAGAGAGUCAAAAAGUACGUGAGAUUGUUGAAAGGGAA